rnacentral:lncRNA from 1 species
GGCGUCCUGGCAGCCUAGGUCCCCCGACUUCCUCAACCUUUCUUUUCCAGCCUCGCCUCUCCGCGACCCUGGGGCAGUUCGUUCAGAGGCUGGCUCCCUCUGCCCCACGCCGCCUCCAACUGCACUUUCCUUAAACUGGGAGCGCUGCAUCUGAAAAGUUGUCAGCUUUCGGUAAAUGUAAUGAUGAUGAAACUGAGGCCCAGAGAAAUUUAAAAACUUGCUCAAAGUCAGUGGCAGAAACCACAUCCCACAAGGCCUCCUUGUGUGCCAUGCUAAGCAGGUUGGACAUUUUCCUAAAGGUGUUGGGUCUCACUCUGUCAUCCAAGCUGAAGUACAGUGAUGUGAUCACAGGUCACUGCAGCCUCAACCUCAAGCAAUCCUCCCACCUUGGCCUCCAAGUAGCUGGGACUACAGGUUCGUGCCACCACACCCGGCUAAUUUUUUGUUUUAGUUUGUUUGUUUGUAGAGACGAAAUUUCGCCAUGUUGCCCAGGCUGGUCUCCAACUCCUGGGCUCAAGCGAUGUUCCCGCUUCAGCCUCCCAAAGUGCUGGGAUUACAGGCAUGAGCCACCACGCCCAGCAUCAGCAUUUCUUUACAGCAUCCAUGGGUCGGGCAUUUGGGGAAACUUAAGUCAGCACAUCUUUGGCACAAUUUCCUACAUAUAGCUCAGUGCCCAAUAAACGUGUUGAAUUGGUGAACACCCCUGCUUUCAUUUCUGUGACACAGAUAGUGACUUUCAAGGCAGGAAGCCUGGGGGCCAUCCUAAAAUUCCUUCCUUCCCCCCACAUCCAGUCAAUCUGCAAGUCCUUUCAGCUGCCCUGUGAAAAUAUUCAUAUAUGCUGAGUCCAUCCCCUUCUUUCCAGCUUCUCGGGUCCCACUCUAUCCCAGGUCACUGUCACCUCUUACCUGAGCUGCUGCAGUGGCCCCCAUAAAGGAAAGGGUCAGUGAGGGGUCGAAGUAUUUGACUUAAAUAAAUCAGAUGACCUGGCCUCCCAGGUUAAAUUUUCCUGUUGGAUUUUUAUCCGACAGAAGAGAAGGAAAACUUUAACUCCCAAUCAUGGCCAUAUGUGCUCCUGCAUGCUCCGGCCCUGAACCGUCCUCUUAACACCUCCUGUAGCUCCCUCUACUCCAGUCCCACUGGCUUUUUACAGAGGCCAAGCUAUUCCCAUCAUAGGGCUUUUGCCCAUGCUGUUCCUUCUGCUGGAAAUACUCUCUCCACUCUUUUUCUUUUUCGUGUGUGUUAUUUUUUAUUUUUUUGAGACAAGGUCUCGCUCUGUCACCCAGGCUUGAGUGCAGUGGUGCGCUCAUGGCUCACUGCAGCCUCCACCGCCUGGGCUCAAGUGAUCCUCCUCCGCCUGGGCUCAAGUGGUCCUCCCACUUCAGCUUCCUGAGUAGCUUGGACUACAGGUCCCGGCUAAUUUUUUUUUUUUUUUUGUAAAAGCAGGGUCUCCCUAUGUUUCCCAGGCUGGUCUCAAACUCCUGGGCUCACACAGUCCUCCUGCCUUGGCCUCCCAAAGUUCUGGGAUUACAGACCUGAGCCAUCAUACCCAGCCAAAUUUAUUUUAGAGAUGGGGUUUUAGUAUAUUGCUUAAGCUGGUCUCAAACUCCUGGGCUCAAUUGAUCCUCCCACCUCAGCAUCCCCAUGUGUUGGGAUUACAGGCAUGAGCCACUGCGCCUGGCUUUCCACUCUUUAAACAGCUGGGUCCUUCUUAUAUAUCACCUCUCAGCUCAAAUGCCACUUAUUCAGAGAGGUUCUCCCUGUCUGCUUUGUUUCCUUCAUAGAAAACUGGGACCAUUUGUAAAUAAUUUAUUUGUUUGCCUAUCUUGUUUGCCUUCCCUCCUAGAUCUGAGAUGUCUAAUAUGUAGCUACUAGCUGCAUAUGGCUAGUAAGCAUUUGGAAUGUGACUUGUCUGAAUUGAGAUGUGCUGUAAAUGUAAAAGACACCAGAUUUUGAAUAGUUAAUACAAUUUAAAAAGGAUAUAAAAUAUCUCAUUUAUAGUUUUAAAAUACUGACUAUAUGUUGAAAUGAUAUUUUGGAUAUAUUGAGUUAAAUAAAAAUAUUAUCAACAAUUAACUUGUUUCUACUUUUUAAAUGUGGCUGCACAUGUGGCUGGCAUUAUAUUUCAUUUGGACAAUGCUGGUCUAUACCAUUAGCUAAUGAAGGUAGGAACAAUCUCUACCCACUGCUGUGUCCCUAGUCUCUAUCAUAUACUAGAUGCUCAGUAAGUAUUUACUGAAUAAUUUGGUAUUUAUGAGAACUCUGGGCUUUUAUGAGAGCUGAGACGGG